GUGCAACUAGGGCUUUACCUAUUAACUGGUCUCAGCUCUAACACUGCUGUGAAGUCUCAUGACUCUUUGUCAACAAUAGCUCCAUGAAUGAUAACCUAAGAUAACUACAAUGAACUUCAUUCUUGUAUAGAUCAAUGUUUCUCAAAUUAGAAUGGGAAAUCUCAAGAGUCCAGACAAUUUCAGCUCAAUCAGCAAUCUCAAGACCUCCUGACCAAAAGUUGUCCUGUUCAUAUGGCCCUGUCUCCUCCACCCCCUGCAGCCAAAAAUCCAAUAGACAUUCACUGGGAGCCAGCUGUUGUCACGCACUGCACUUGACGGUAUGAGUGAAAUCAUUCAUUUUUCACUGAACGCUUACUUCAUGCUGGGACCUAAGCAACAACUGUGGCGACAAUGGACUUAUUGGUAAUUUACUAUGUGCAGACACUCUCCUCACUUUUUGACAGGUAUUGUCUCACUUAAUCUGUCUCAAAUCCUUAUUGGACAUAUACUAUUAUUUCUUUGGCUGAGCAAUAAGAAAAAUUGAGAGAGAUUUAAAAUGCCAACUAGAGGUUCAUGGCUGCAUCCAUCAGGCCCACAGACUCUAAAACAUGCUCAUAACCAC
rnacentral:lncRNA from 1 species